rnacentral:piRNA from 1 species
UCUAUUUGGCUGAAUAAAGAGCAGGAUGGU